AAUUGUUCGCAAUGGGCGCAAGCCUGACGACGCAACGCCGCGUGGAGGAUGAAGAUCUUCGGGUCGUAAACUCCUUUCGAUCGAGACGAACGGCCUCCGGGUUAACAGCCCGGGGGAGUGACGGUACCGAGAGAAGAAGCCCCGGCUAACUCCGUGCCAGCAGCCGCGGUAAUACGUAGGUGGCAAGCGUUGUCCGGAUUUACUGGGCGUAAAGAGCGCGCAGGCGGUCGUUCAAGUCGCGUGUGAAAGCCCCCGGCUCAACUGGGGAGGGUCACGCGAUACUGAUCGACUCGAAGGCAGGAGAGGGUAGUGGAAUUCCCGGUGUAGUGGUGAAAUGCGUAGAUAUCGGGAGGAACACCAGUGGCGAAGGCGGCGAUCUGGGCUGAUACUGACGCUGAGGUGCGAAAGCGUGGGGAGCAAA
rnacentral:rRNA from 1 species